CCUGUGCAUGACGCUUACGUCCCACUGCCUCCUCCUCCGCGCCGCUUGUCUCACACCUGCGGAGCCGCAUCACCUGAAGGAAGCUCCUUCUGUCCCAAUGAGAGCGCAGCGAUGUGCAGGACGGAGGGACAACUGUGGCUGUGCAGACUGUGCCGAAAUCCUGAAGGAGGCUACGCUCAGGGGCGGGGCUACGCUGUGAUUGACAGGUGGCUACCACGGCGUCAUGUGUUUCGCAGAAUGUUAGAUAGUUGGAUAAGAAACAUUAUGCAAAGAUGGGUUGUGUCAUGUGAUCACUUCCAGUCCAGCUGUAAAACUUUGUAAAACUUUGACUCAUCGUCUCACCUUUUAAGAUAUUUAGCGAGACUUGCUGACUGAUUGUGGAGACUGUACACGCUGUGCAAAGUGUACUAUGUGCUCUCGGGUGAAUUCUCUUCCUAGAAGAAAUUACAGAGUAAGAAAACAUUGGUGAGUGUCAAAAUAACUGCCCAGGUGGAAGUUUUGUUCAGAACAGUUGGUGAAGGAGGCUUGACGUCCCCUGCAGGCUCUACCUGUUGUUCAAUAUAACAAUAUCAGACUCGUGGAUCUGCGAGGUGAGUCCUCGGCGCACUGGAAAUAUUCACAAUGCAGGUGUGGAAAUAUCUUGGUUACACACAAACAUACUGUGUAGAAAUCAAACUGUGGAAUCUGGUGCAAGCGAAUACUGAAAAAAGCCAAAGAGAAACAUGGACCUCGAGAGAAGAAAGUCAGUGGCCAAAAGCAUCGACGAGGAGUCAUUUCCAUUCAGGCACCGGCCCAAAAAUAAUAACAGUAACUCAGUGCAGACUAACAGGGAAGCCCCGACUCAGCAGCAACAAACAUCUGCAUCGAUGUCAAACCAUCGACUAUGGGAGAGAUUAUGAAAACGUGUGUUUUGUUGGUAUAAAUGUGCCCCUGAUGUCAAAUGACAUGGCAGUGAAUCGUCUUUAUUUCCUCUCAGGAGGUGCAUCCACAAGCGAGCAGCAAAGUACAAACCGCUCCAGCAGCUUGUGGAGUUACAGGAUACAAGUCAAAAUACUUCAGUUCCCAGAAGCAUUAAAGACGGAUUCAGCAGAUGGAAUCAGAGUGACACUUUAUUUUAUUUUAUUCAGCAGGAGGAAAAAAAAAUAAAAAAAUCAUUCAGAACUCGUGUUGCUCGUAAGGACAUUUAGCAAAACCCCGAAUUACUGCAUGUUAACAGCCUUUAGAUCAGCUCGCUACUACUGGGGCGCGCACACACACACACGCACGCACACACACACACACACACACACUUAAGGGGGAUUGACUGGAGCCAGCUGAGAAAGUAGCAGCCAUCAUUACCUUGUCUGAUGUGAACCACGAGGGCCGCAGCAAUCAUCACCCUUUAAACACAACGUUUCCUAUUUCUCAGUGCAAACACACACACACACACACACACACACACACACACACGGACACACACUCCAUUGCUGCCGGUGGAUAAAUUACAGGGCAGCGAGUGCACAGCGGCACAGCCGUCCGAGGAGGAAAACGAAGAGGCUUAGCUGGAAGGAUGACGGACGACGGCGAGAGGAGACAAAGCCGAGUACUUCAUAAAGCAGCCGCGCGAUCGGGAGGGACGCCGCUUUUCCGUUGGCUUGUUUCCCCGUCGCAAAGGAGACGAGGCGGCUGCUUGCGGGGCGGAAAGAGGUGGAGGGACCUAGUUUCUACGUGAAGGAGGUCGUGCUAUUUUUGCACCGCCGACCGCCGCGUGCCAGCGACGAGACGACUAAUCUGCCCGCGUGGACUUGAGGAUGAUCACUUUAGAAUUACACGAUGCCUUUGUUAACCAAUUAGAAAUCCGGGAUUAACUGUUGCCAUUACUGGGAGGGGGGGGGGGGACUUUUUGUUUGCUUUGUUGCAGCAAAACUCACAACAAACAGAGAUGUGCAGCCCAUUUAUAUUUCAGCAGCGUGCGUCUUCCUCCUCCUCCUCCUCCUCCUGCAUCUCUUGGCGGAUUUACGGACUUGUCUUUUGUAUCUUAAGCACACGAGGGAGGAAGGGGGAGGAAGGGGGGGUAAAGAAACUCGUGGCUUAAUUAGAGAUACUCUGGCUGUGUGAACGCUGCACGACCCAAAAGCCUGCGAGGCCGCUGCAGCUCCGUUCAAGAGGGGAAAACGAGCUCGACAAGCCCGGCGCACAACAAACCACAUUUAGCGCCCAUUGGAACGCUGCACGCAACCACGCCGCGAAUCAGCGGGUUCCCAAACGCACCAGCACGCCCGCCCGCCCGCCUGCACGUCCACGCUUUUUAAAUACGAUCGGACUGCAAACGGGGUAAACGCGCGAUGAGCGUCGCGCUAGACGCGUAGAUGUGUAUUUAUGUACACACACACACACACACACACAUCAGUGUCCCUCUUACGCCCGGGCAUCAAAGAGAGCACAGCUGUGUCAUUGGACGAACCCUUUAAUCCACUCAGCCGGCGCAUCUGUGUGCUCUGUGCGCGUGUGUGUGUGUGUGUGUGUGUGACGACGUAAGGGGGAGACGGGGGGGGGGAGGAGGCUGUUUUUAUGCCUGAUGUUGCGUUCGGGUCGCUGGCUCGACGUCACAUGUCAGAAAAGCUCAUCUGUGCGAUGGUGAAGUUUCCAAGCUGCUGAAUUUGGGUCGAAUGGGGUCAACAGGAGAUCCCCAUCAGGAUCCCCUCCCAGGACACAAGCGCUCAUACUGUUCAGACACAGUCAAACACGUCUGCGGAGACAAGGAACGCACGGCAGGAAUCCAGAGUACCGAAUUGAGUCUUUGGUUUUUGUUUUUUUGGGACAAACCCAACGAGCGAGGAUCGAUUGGAUCGAGUCGCCUCGUGUAAAUCAUUGUCAGCCGUCCGCGUCCAAUCGGAGACUCGUCUUUACUUUGUAAUUAGCUGAGAAACAGGACGCCAUUUGUCUCGUGAAAGGCUGAGGCCAAUGAGGGUCCGAGCGCUCGACGGUCAACGGGGUGAUUUAUAAUCUGACCUUAACGUUACAUUGGGGCGCGUUGGUGAUAUUGAAUCCUUGCUAAAUCGCUGCUAAUCAUGACGCAGUAACAACCAUAGCGGCUUUGUUGACCUUUCUAAGACCAGAAAUGUAAACGCAUAGAUGUUGAUGCUGCACACAUUAGCAUGUUGGGCUAACAAGCUACAAGCAGAGUGACCCAGCGUUACUGGAUGACAUCAUUAACCUGUCGACUCCUUCGUCUCAAAUGAGACAUUAUUCAUGGUCAUAAAUCGUGAACUGGCGUCACACAUGUGAAGCGAUAAAGAUUUACGAGCUCCGCAGAGCGAUUUACCCAAAGUGCCUCGUCCAUUAAUCAGCAGAUUGUGUAAAAGCAUCAAAAAGAUCAUAAAAUCGCACCGAGUUGAUCUGAAGACCGACAAAGCGGAGAGAACGAACACAUUACGAGAUGUAACGUCGCCGGCGUCACAAUUCACUGCAACAUCAGCGUCGGCGUGCUGAAGCAGGUGAUUCGUAUGUAGAGGGAAGUGUGUUUGUGGCGUUUUGCGUCCAGCCUUCUCGUGGUUGACUCGACCAACGCUCACAUUACAC
ensembl:lncRNA